CUACCAAGUAUUAAAGGUCCCGCCUGCCCAGUGAACAUCUUUAAACGGCCGCGGUAUCCUAACCGUGCAAAGGUAGCGUAAUCACUUGCCCCCUAAUUAGAGGCUAGCAUGAACGGCUAAAUGAGGUCCUGCCUGUCUCUUAGGACAAAGAAAUGAAACUGAUCUUCUAGUACAAAAGCUAGAAUUCACACAUAAGACGAGAAGACCCUGUGGAGCUUUAAGCCGCUGCUGCUAAUGUAUUACCAAAAAUUUUACUAAAUAUAAACCUAUACCCCCUAGCAGCAACCUUUAGUUGGGGCAACUAUGGAGAAAAAUAAAACCUCCACGUACUAAGAUAUCCCCUGCCUCUAGGCCAACCAGCCACCCAACAAGACCCAGCAUUACUGCUGACCAUCGAACCAAGUUACCCCAGGGAUAACAGCGCCAUCCUCUUUCAGAGUCCCUAUCGACAAGAGGGCUUACGACCUCGAUGUUGGAUCAGGACACCCCAGUUGGCGCAGUCGCUACUAAAGGUCCGUUUGUUCAACGGUUAAU
rnacentral:rRNA from 1 species